AUUGAACGCUGGCGGCAUGCUUUACACAUGCAAGUCGAACGGCAGCGCGGGCUUCGGCCUGGCGGCGAGUGGCGAACGGGUGAGUAAUACAUCGGAACGUACCCAGGAGUGGGGGAUAACGCAGCGAAAGCUGCGCUAAUACCGCAUACGCUCUACGGAGGAAAGCAGGGGACCGCAAGGCCUUGUGCUCAUGGAGCGGCCGGUGUCUGAUUAGCUAGUUGGUGAGGUAAAGGCUGACCAAGGCGACGAUCAGUAGCUGGUCUGAGAGGACGACCAGCCACACUGGAACUGAGACACGGUCCAGACUCCUACGGGAGGCAGCAGUGGGGAAUCUUGGACAAUGGGGGAAACCCUGAUCCAGCGAUGCCGCGUGAGUGAAGAAGGCCUUCGGGUUGUAAAGCUCUUUUGUUAGGGAAGAAGAUUACCGAAAGGUGGUUUGACGGUACCUAAAGAAUAAGCACCGGCUAACUCUGUGCCAGCCGCCGCCGUAAUAC
rnacentral:rRNA from 1 species